rnacentral:misc_RNA from 1 species
GCAGCUGGAGCGCAAGUCUGGGCUCCACGGAACGUUCAAGGCACUGGGGUUGCAUGUGGUGGUGGUGGUGGUGGUGGUGGUUACCGACUGGUAGCAGGCGUGCAACAAGUCCCGCGCCUUUCAGGUAUGAAUCAUGUUGGAAGCGUGUCACGCUGCGUCACGCUUGAAUGGACAGACGAUUCAUGAUGCGUCUUCAAGUGCGAACGAUGGCACUCCUGCUCUGGCGUAUAGCACGAGAUCGGAAUCACGAUGCAAUGUAUUGUACAGAUUGUAGACGAGUUGCUUCUAGGAUGUAUACGCUUUACGGAACAGUGCAAGGAGGACUGCAAGAAUGCUUCAGGUCAGUCAUAAAACAGUACGCAGAUGAUUUAGGAACUCUGAAAGAAAGAAAGAAAGAAAGAAAGAAAGAAGUGUGUGCGAUCGGCACCAGAAACUGGUAUUGUGAAAGUGUGCCUGCGGUCAGUGGUAGAAGUAGCAGAAAACGACCCAUUGAUCACUCCAGGGAAAGCAAACGAUACGAUAGUAGACGCCGGGGGGGGGGGGUCUCUGUUUCUCAAAAGCUUGUUCUUUUUGUCCUGGUAACACGGGGCUCUGGUCACUAAAAAGCCCUAGUUCACGCACGGCUAUCUUCCACCGAAAUCGGAACUAGAGCGUUCCUGGAAAGUCACGACCCGUAUGAAGCACGGACGUCGCUUUGCUUUUCCAGUUAAUGAGACUCUCUUCGGACGAAACAGUCGUAGCGUCUAUGGGUAUUCGCGGAGCAGGGAUCCCGUCGUAGGUAUACACGAUCGUACUCGAAGAGAACGAGGGAAUCAUCAUCUGUUCUAGGUGCAGUGGAUUCAUUUGGCAGGUCAGCUUUGGCUCGUAGAGAGGGUUCGUACAUCAGCACAAACCACUUUUUCGAAGACCUGAAGACUUCUCCCUGACGUCUGCCGACAUGUUUCUAUUGGAAAAUUGUGGUAUUUUACCGCUCUCUUUGCAUUCGAGCCUUUGCCGAUUCUAUCAGGGUAGAGCUGCUUUUCAAUCCUGCGUACGCUUCGUGGUUGAAUCCCGUUGAAGGAGUCGUUUCUAUCGUGAAACGCCAUGGUCGCUGCACUGGGCGAAUUGAUGAAGCGUUCAGCAUACGACGACACACGGGCGCACAUCUCGACUUUCUUCCGCAAGUCCUUCUCGCCUCGCGAAGGUCCGAACCUGCGGCUUGCAACAGGUCCGUUCAUUCGACGAAAUAAAGAAUCCCAUGGAGCGGUAUGUGCACGCAAGUCGAGGAUCCUGAAGCGCUGUUACCGCCGGAUGCCGAAAGAAAACGACAAAAUCCUCUUCUCGCCGACCAUGGAGCGAAGCAGACCAAAUGACGAAAAAGAAGAAGAACGGUUGAGAUAGGCCAGAAAACGUGUCCGCCCGACGGGACGAUCACGAGACUUUGGUGACACCGAGGACACGAGUUGAACGAAGCCCUGCAUUGGCGCGUACCACCAGAGGCAGUUCACGCGAGACGUUCACGAACCGAGGCGUUAACGCCACCAUUAAUAUCAGACGUUGUGCGGUGCGGAAUACGAGACCUGAGAAGUUUAGGCGAUCUAACUUUGUGGAGCAGCCUCUCAGGGUCGAAGUGUGCAUGGAGAAGCUGAAGCCGAUAGCACGCGCCCCGUCGAAAAAGGCUGAGAGACGUCUCCACAUCAGGGGUUAGAUAUUCAGUCUAUGGAUGUCAAAAUCAUAGCGUGUAAUGGCGAAACAAUCUUGUCGGCAUUGGCGAGUUGGGAUGAGGAUCCGGUUCAGGGUACGUUCAGCUCGACAACGCUGGACGAGUAACGGAACGUGUAAGUGAGCGCCAGUUUUCGCGGUGUAUUCGGGUUAUGCGGACGUGGACGCGCCACAAAGCUCACAUGCACGUCGUCCCGUGCGCUAUGAUGCAGCAAAAGCACCAUGUAAGGAUGUCAACGGCGGACUAGGUCUGUCGCCGUACACUCUUCUGUGCAGGUUCGACUUGUGGCGGCGUCUCCGCUACGACAAAUCAGUGACCGAUUCGACUCCGUAGAUCGGCACUGGUAACGUAGCUUUUGAAACAGGCCACUUUCUCAGACCAUCAUGAUGUACUGAGCGUUGACGAGCCGUCAGCGUGCCCACUCGAAAUGAGGGACCAGUCAACCGGGCACCAUGGCAUCCACGCGACGCAUUCCGCAUCGUGCCGUAUUCCUGGCGGCGUUGGGCGUUCAGACACCUACACGACUUCAUGUGCAGCGGUUUUACAUAUUCGUUUCGCGGAUAUGACGCACUGGAGUCGUCUGAGCUGCGUGCAGGUUCCGGUCGUCAGUGCCGCCUGACUCGAAUUCAACAGUCCAGUGGUCUCGUACUAGGGAGCGCGUCCGCGCUCGUCUCGUGACGACCUGCGGCAUACGCAACGUCGACGUCGAGGGAAAAGCCCCAAACAAAGCUGCUACUUCAGGGCUCUGAUAUCGUGGCGCGCGGAAAGAAACGAUAUGAGUUUCACCAUACGCCCUUGACCCUGGUAGGAUUCCUGGUACCAGCACAACUAGCGACAGCAUGCGUAGUUGCACGAUUCGUAGCAACUGUUGCUCGAACAGCAUUCAUCGUCGUCGAACGCCCGGUAGUAGUCACCGCAGCAGCACUCAGCGUAGUCGUUGUAGCAGGAUAUAUAGUUGUGUGCUCGGCAUCGGAAAAUCGGCGUGUGCUGCUAGCGCUCUAAAUCAAAGAGAAGCCUCAUGAUUCGCUGCACUUGCUGGCGGGCUGUGCUCGCGGUAGCUCCCUGUUCCGCGUAGUGUCGCUCGAGUCGAUGCAUCGCAUCAGGAUCAAGGUGGAUACCUUCGGCGCUCACAAUGGCGAGGCACUCGGCCAAGGCCGGCCAUAGAACAGCAGGAGCCUUGCAAUGGGCACGAAUCAGGGCACGAACGCCAAUGUGGCUCGGGAGCACUGUCGUAGCUGCAAUUUCGCCGUUUGCGAACACAUGAAACAAGUCUAGCGCGGUACGAGCACGGUGCGUUCGGUCACUAGCAACGAGCAACGCAUCUAGUAUCGAGCGAAGCAUCUGUGGUGUCAGUUUCUCUUGAAUGGUCUCGUUCCUACGCACAUAGGUCUCGUAGAUGGUAAAGGCG